UGAAAACACUGGUUCUCAUCUGAUCACUGAAGUUAAACAGUUUUCAGCUUGGUCAGUACUUAGUUGGAGGACUGCAUGGGAACAUCGGAUACUGUA